rnacentral:lncRNA from 1 species
CCUCGUCAAAAACCUCGUCAAGUCACAAAAACCCUGUGGGAGAAAAACUGAACCUUGAUCGUAGGAGAAAAAAAGUACAACGCACCCUUCACAUUUGAUAGUGACAUGUAUGUAUGUGCUAGACUCCCCCUGAAGUUCGCACCUCCCCCUGAUCUUUACAUCAAUCAUAGGGCUCUUCCUGAUUCUCACUAAUCACGGAAGUUUCAACAACUUAGCAUGUCAAUGCUCUUUAACAUGUCUUCAAAUGUGGCAUUGGGCAAUGAUUAACUAAAUCAUGCCGUAUUGUCCUCAAAUGAUCUUUUACACUUAGAUCUUGAGAAGAAGGUCGCUUGUGAACUCAAAACAUAAGUUCGUGCAAGAAAUCAGAUUUCCGCGCAGCAUGACUUUCAAUUACUAGAAUAGUCGUAACUUCCUCUAGGAAAUACAUAUGAACGAACCGUAAACGGUUUUGGAAACUAGACUCAUUUAGCUUUCCAACCGUAUAUUACAAACAUUCUGGUUCAUCAGGAGCUAUUCACAAAAUCCAGUCGAAGUUGACUGUUUUGCCAAAAUCAGAUUCUCGGACAGAUUCGUCCUACUUUACGAAAACGGCCAUAACUCACUCAAUAUGAUAGGUAUGAUCAAAUGGUUGGUGCCCCUGGAAAGUAGACACAUAGACCUUUCCAAUGGUACCAAUUUUACCAUUUUCCAGUGAGUGAGAUUUCCUAUAGGUCCCGUGGAAGUUGACCUACAAAACUUGGCAGAUUCUGAUUUCGCUUUUGAUGUGUCUUCUUAUGUAGGGAUAGAAUAAGCCUCAACCUUUCAUACUAUUAAGUAUUGAAAAAAGGAGUUACUGCCAUUACAUUGGCGUUGCGUGGGCGCAUAGCUACAUUUAGCUUUACAACUUUUCAUAGCGAAUGAGAUGUCAAGUCUUUCGUAUUGUGUUGAGUACAUUGAUGCGUCUUAUUGUACUUAGAUGGGAACUCCAUCUCUU